UUUUUUUUUUUAUUUUUAGUAGAGACAGGGUUUCACCAUGUUAGCCAGGACAGUCUCAAUCUCUUGACUUUGUGAUCCGCCUGCCUCGGCCUCCCAAAGUGCUGGGAUUACAGGCGUGAGCCACCGCGCCCGGCCUUCCAAAUUCCUUCUAACAGCCUAGCAAAAGAAUAAUAAGGAAGGUAAAUCUGCCCCUACAAGAAAAUAAUGUUUGGACGAUCCGGCUUUCCUUCCUGCUACCCCCAGCCAUAAGAAUAAAUGACCUUGCUCAUCACUGAAAUUUUACCUGACCUUUGAAUUUUUAACUGUGUCAGCCAAAGAACUUAUAUUUUGAGUCUUCCUAAGGUGAUUGCUAUUGUAGUUUUGAAACACUUGGUUGGUAUGUUUGAGGGUUUCAUGGUCCAAAGUUACUACAGCAGUUAAAAGAGUGGACUAUCAGGUCAGACCUCUUGGGCUUUAAUCCCACCCAGUUCUGCCUUCUCUUAGACCUUGGGCCUGUUGCUUUCACUUCUCUGGGUUUCAGUUUCUCUGUCCACAAUUGUGGAAACGAGGUCCACUUAUAGGUAGUUUAGAGGAUGAAGCAAGAUGAUGCAUAUCAAGUACUUUGCAUAGUGCUGGGCAGACAGGUAACAUUCAAGUUCUAAUAAUUACUAUUAGUAGGCCAGGCGCGGUGGCUCACGCCUGUAAUCCCAGCACUUUGGGAGGCCGAGGGCAGAUCACGAGGUCAGGAGAUCGAGACCAUCCUGGCUAACAUGGUGAAACCCCAUCUCUACUAAAAAUACAAAAAUAUUAGCCGGGCGUGGUGGCGGAGCUUGCAGUGAGCCGAGAUCGCGCCACUGCACUCCAGCCUGGGCGACAGAGCGAGACUCUGUCUCAAAAAAAAAAAAAAAAAAAAAUUACUAUUAUUACUAUUUAUUUUUUCAGACAGGUUCUCACUCUGUCACCUUGGCUGGAGUGCAGCCGCGAGAUCACAGCUCAUGGCAGCCUUGACCUCCCAGGCUCAAGUGAUCCUCCUGCCUCAGCCUUUGGGGUAGCUGGGGCUACAGGUGUGUGCUACCACCCUCAGCUAAUUUUUUAAUUUUUUUGAGUCAGGAUCUCGUCAUGUUGCCCAGGCUGAAUUACUCUUAUUAAAAACUGUAAUAUCAGGCCGGGUGCGGUGGCUCACGCCUGUAAUCCCAGCACUUUGGGAGGCCUAGGCAGGUGGAUCACCUGAGGUCAGGAGUUCAAGACCAGCCUGCCCAACAGAGUGAGACCCCCCCAUCUCUACUAAAAAUAUAAAAAUUAGCCAGUUGUGGUGGUGGGCACGUGUAAUCCCAGCUACUCGGGAGGCUGAGGCAGGAUAAUCGCUUGAACCCGGGAGGCAGAGGUUGCAGUGAGCCGAGAUCGUGCCACUGCACUCCAGCCUGGGUGAGAGGGUGAGACUCUGUCUCAAAAAAAAACAAAAAACAAAAAGCAUAAUUAGGGUAGUAACGCUUAUACAUAGGGGCAGGUGGAAUAAAACGUAAUUAGGAGGUCGGGCACGGUGGCUCACGCCUGUAAUUCCAGCACUUUGGGAGGCCGAGGAGGGUGGAUCACCUGAGGUCAGGAGUUCAAGACUAGCCUGCCCAACAUAGUGAGACCCCGUCUCUACUAAAAAUAUAAAAUUUAGCCGGUUGUGGUGGUGGGUGCCUGUAGUCCCAGCUACCAGGGAGGCUGAGGCAGGAGAAUCGCUUUUGAACCCAGGAGGUGGGGGUGGCAGUGAGCUGAGAUCGCGCCGCUGCACUCCAGCCUGGGAGACAGAGCAAGACUCCGUCUCAAAAACAAAAAACAAAAACCAAAAAACUGUCAUAUCAAAAACUAAACUAAAAUGGUAAUAUCUGUUAGAUAUUACAAAGUCAGGCAAAUUAUGAUUCAUGGCAGCCACUAAUGACCCAAAGGAGAGAAAGAAUAAUUAGCAGAUUCUAACCUAAUGGGAAAAAAAACUAAAUGAAUAGGGAUGGGGGAUUUACAUUCUGUUAGAGGAAAUUAAGGCUGUCAUAUAAAAGGAAUAGGUAAGGCAAGCUGUAAAUUCCUGUUUAUACAAAUGCCCUUCUGAUAAAUCUCUGCAUUGCCCACAGUCCAUGAUUACCUCUCACUUAUUUUAAGUAAUAUUUAACACAUUAAAAUUGGAUUACCACCCAAGGAAUUGCUUCUGACCCAGAAAGUGCAGGUAGUGUUGAAGGUUUGAGGGGAAGAGGAGUGAUUAGAGUUGGUUGUGUCUCAGGAAGAAGCCAACAGGAGGAACCUUAUUUUGAGUCAGGUAAAGAAGGUGGGAGUGAGGAGGCAUCCCAGUGGCCAGGUAUGAAGCUGGGAGCUGAUUGCUGCACAUUACUCAGCUGAAUUAAAUGUGCCCUCACAUCACUCAGCUGAAUUAAAUGUGCCCUCACAUCUGUGUGCGUGCGUACAUGCAAAUGUACAUGUGUAUGAAUUAGUUGGAGGGGUAGACCUUUAUUUUCCUGUCCUGUAACUUUCCUUUGCAAAAUAAUCUGUAUUCAGAAUAGUGUUGCAGUUAAGAACCACCCAGCUUGUCCAUGAAACAGACUCUCUCACCCCAUCUCCCCAGUUUUAGAGAAGGCAGGAAAGAAAAGGCAGUGCUUUUCUUUUUUCCUGGCCGUAUGCAGGGCAGGAAGAAGCCAGCAGAGCUUGAAAGAGAAAGUAAACCUUCUGGGAAAUAAACGGCUUGGCUUCCCUAUUGUGGAGGAGGAGUGCAAAUUAUUAGGGGGAUGUUUGGGUAGUUUUUGUAGAAGCCAUUUCUGAAAACUGAUUUGGAUUAGUGAAGGUAAGCCCAAUUUAGGAAAACCCUGCCCAGUCUGGUGUCAGCCACCUGUUUCCCGCUUUCUUUGAUUGAUUUGAUUAGUUUGUGGUAUUCUGACCUCUCAUUCUUAUUACGAGAGUUGGAAGAUUUGAGUCUGAACUUGAGCACCUGCUUCAGUGAAAGCUUCCUAAAAUGCAAGUUUUUUUUCACAUUUUUUCUCAUGUUCAUUUUGUUUUGAUUUUUAGCAAACACUUUUUCUGACAGAAUCUAAAAGCAUUAGACUUUUCUUGUUUCCCCCUUCUCUCCCCACAAUGUAAUCUUGAAAACCCAGAUGUUAGCCGUGUAAUUAUCUCUCCCAUAAACCAAACAAAGUGCAAUAUUGCAUUGAGUUAGCAUUAAAAUAGUCGGCCUUUGGAUUUUUUUCUACUUGUGGUUUAGACAUAAUAAAUAUUUCAUCUCAGACUGACUUUCUCUGACAAAUCAGUUUUGCAUUUGGGCCUCUUUUCAUCAGUAUGUUUAGGGAAAGCACAUUUAUUGAAACAUUAACCAAAAUGAAACAUAAUUAGGAGGCCGGGAGCGAUGGCUCAUGCCUGUAAUCCCAGCACUUUGGGAGACCAAGGCAUGUGGAUCGCUUGAGGUCAGGAGUUCAAGACCAGCCCUGCCAACAUGGCGAAAUCCUGUCUCUACUGAAAAUACAAAAAACUAGCUGGGCGUGGUAAUGCGUGCCUGUAAUCCCAGCUACUCUGGAGGCUAAAGCACAAGAAUCGCUUGAACCUGGGAGGCAGAGGUUGCAGUGAGUCGAGAUUGUGCCACUGUACUCCAGCCUGGGCAACAGAGACUCCAUCUCAAACAACCAAAAAACAAAAACAAGCAUAAUUAGGGUGGUAACGCUUAUACAUAGGGGCAGGUGGAAUAAUUGAAGCAUUCUGGAGCCAGAAAUAAUCAAUUGAUUAAGAAUAAUCUGGCCGGGUGCGGUGGCUCAUGCCUGUAAUCCCAGUACUUUGGGAGGCCGAGGCGGGUCGAUCACCUGGUCAGGAGUUCGAGACCAGCCUGACCAACCUAGUGAAACCCCAUUUCUACUAAAAAUACAAAAAUUAGCCAGGUGUGGUGGCAGGUGCCUGUAAUCCCAGCUACUUGGGAGGCCGAGGCAGGAGAAUCACUUGAACCCGGGAGGCGGAGGUUGCAGUAAGCGGAGAUCUUGUCAUUGCACUCCGGCCUGGGAAAUGAGUGAAACUCCGUCUCAAAAAAAAAAAAAAAAGGAAUAAUUAAUACUCAUUCUUAAUCCCAUGUGUUAUUUUCCCUUUCUAUUCCAAUGAAUAAAUGAGUAGACUGCGUAUAACUAAAAGCAUAUGAGACACUUGAGAGUCCUAAUUACUGUAUUGAAGAGUCCUAGGUUCAUAGAACCAUCUAAAAUUUCUGUUUCUCAAAUGUGGUGCAGGAUUUUGAUAGUGGGGGAGGUUGUGUGUGUGAUGGCUACAGGGGGUGUAUGGGAAUCUCUGUACUUUCUACUCAAUUUUGCUGUGGACCUAAAACUGCUCUAAGAAGGAAAGUUUAUUGUCCGGGCAUGGUGGCUCAUGCCUGUAAUCCCAGCACUUUGGGAGGCCAAGGCGGGCGGAUCACGAGAUCAGGAGAUGGAGGCCAUCCAGCUAACACGGUGAAACCCCGUCUCUACUAAAAAUACAAAAAAUUAGCUGGGCGUUGUGGUGGGUGCCUGUAGUCCCAGCUACUCGGGAGGCUGAGGCAGGAGAAUGGUGUGAACCCGGGUGGCGGAGCUUGGCAGUGAACCGAGAUCGUGCCACUGCACUCCAGCUUGGGAGACAGAGCGAGACUCCAUCUCAGAAAAAAAAAAAAAGAAAGAAACUUUAUUAAUAAAAAAAAACACAUUUCUGGCUGGGCAUGGUGGCUCACGCCUGUAAUCCCAGCACUUUGGGAGGCCUGAGGCGGGCAGAUCACGUGAGUGAGGUCAGGAGUUCAAAACCAGCCUGGCCAACAUGGUGAAAACCCAUCUCUACUAAAAAUACAAAAA